rnacentral:rRNA from 1 species
UCAGAGCCCGUUAAUGGGUGAUGGCGUGCCUUUUGUAGAAUGAACCGGCGAGUUACGAUUUGAUGCAAGGUUAAGCAGUAAAUGUGGAGCCGUAGCGAAAGCGAGUCUGAAUAGGGCGUUUAGUAUUUGGUCGUAGACCCGAAACCAGGUGAUCUACCCUUGGUCAGGUUGAAGUUCAGGUAACACUGAAUGGAGGACCGAACCGACUUACGUUGAAAAGUGAGCGGAUGAACUGAGGGUAGCGGAGAAAUUCCAAUCGAACCUGGAGAUAGCUGGUUCUCUCCGAAAUAGCUUUAGGGCUAGCCUCAAGUGAUGAUUAUUGGAGGUAGAGCACUGUUUGGACGAGGGGCCCCUCUCGGGUUACCGAAUUCAGACAAACUCCGAAUGCCAAUUAAUUUAACUUGGGAGUCAGAACAUGGGUGAUAAGGUCCGUGUUCGAAAGGGAAACAGCCCAGACCACCAGCUAAGGUCCCAAAAUAUAUGUUAAGUGGAAAAGGAUGUGGCGUUGCCCAGACAACUAGGAUGUUGGCUUAGAAGCAGCCAUCAUUUAAAGAGUGCGUAAUAGCUCACUAGUCGAGUGACACUGCGCCGAAAAUGUACCGGGGCUAAACAUAUUACCGAAGCUGUGGAUUGUCCUUUGGACAAUGGUAGGAGAGCGUUCUAAGGGCGUUGAAGCAUGAUCGUAAGGACAUGUGGAGCGCUUAGAAGUGAGAAUGCCGGUGUGAGUAGCGAAAGACGGGUGAGAAUCCCGUCCACCGAUUGACUAAGGUUUCCAGAGGAAGGCUCGUCCGCUCUGGGUUAGUCGGGUCCUAAGCUGAGGCCGACAGGCGUAGGCGAUGGAUAACAGGUUGAUAUUCCUGUACCACCUAUAAUCGUUUUAAUCGAUGGGGGGACGCAGUAGAAUAGGCGAAGCGUGCGAUUGGAUUGCACGUCUAAGCAGUAAGGCUGAGUAUUAGGCAAAUCCGGUACUCGUUAAGGCUGAGCUGUGAUGGGGAGAAGACAUUGUGUCUUCGAGUCGUUGAUUUCACACUGCCGAGAAAAGCCUCUAGAUAGAAAAUAGGUGCCCGUACCGCAAACCGACACAGGUAGUCAAGAUGAGAAUUCUAAGGUGAGCGAGCGAACUCUCGUUAAGGAACUCGGCAAAAUGACCCCGUAACUUCGGGAGAAGGGGUGCUCUUUAGGGUUAACGCCCAGAAGAGCCGCAGUGAAUAGGCCCAAGCGACUGUUUAUCAAAAACACAGGUCUCUGCUAAACCGUAAGGUGAUGUAUAGGGGCUGACGCCUGCCCGGUGCUGGAAGGUUAAGAGGAGUGGUUAGCUUCUGCGAAGCUACGAAUCGAAGCCCCAGUAAACGGCGGCCGUAACUAUAACGGUCCUAAGGUAGCGAAAUUCCUUGUCGGGUAAGUUCCGACCCGCACGAAAGGCGUAACGAUUUGGGCACUGUCUCAACGAGAGACUCGGUGAAAUCAUAGUACCUGUGAAGAUGCAGGUUACCCGCGACAGGACGGAAAGACCCCGUGGAGCUUUACUGUAGCCUGAUAUUGAAAUUCGGCACAGCUUGUACAGGAUAGGUAGGAGCCUUUGAAACGUGAGCGCUAGCUUACGUGGAGGCGCUGGUGGGAUACUACCCUAGCUGUGUUGGCUUUCUAACCCGCACCACUUAUCGUGGUGGGAGACAGUGUCAGGCGGGCAGUUUGACUGGGGCGGUCGCCUCCUAAAAGGUAACGGAGGCGCUCAAAGGUUCCCUCAGAAUGGUUGGAAAUCAUUCAUAGAGUGUAAAGGCAUAAGGGAGCUUGACUGCGAGACCUACAAGUCGAGCAGGGUCGAAAGACGGACUUAGUGAUCCGGUGGUUCCGCAUGGAAGGGCCAUCGCUCAACGGAUAAAAGCUACCCCGGGGAUAACAGGCUUAUCUCCCCCAAGAGUUCACAUCGACGGGGAGGUUUGGCACCUCGAUGUCGGCUCAUCGCAUCCUGGGGCUGUAGUCGGUCCCAAGGGUUGGGCUGUUCGCCCAUUAAAGCGGUACGCGAGCUGGGUUCAGAACGUCGUGAGACAGUUCGGUCCCUAUCCGUCGUGGGCGUAGGAAAUUUGAGAGGAGCUGUCCUUAGUACGAGAGGACCGGGAUGGACAUACCUCUGGUGUACCAGUUGUCGUGCCAACGGCAUAGCUGGGUAGCUAUGUGUGGACGGGAUAAGUGCUGAAAGCAUCUAAGCAUGAAGCCCCCCUCAAGAUGAGAUUUCCCAACUUCGGUUAUAAGAUCCCUCAAAGAUGAUGAGGUUAAUAGGUUCGAGGUGGAAGCAUGGUGACAUGUGGAGCUGACGAAUACUAAUCGAUCGAAGACUUAAUCAA